rnacentral:rRNA from 1 species
CCUGCAUGAAGUUGGAAUUGCUAGUAAUCGCGGAUCAGCAUGCCGCGGUGAAUACGUUCCCGGGCCUUGUACACACCGCCCGUCACACCAUGGGAGCCGGUAAUACCCGAAGUCAGUAGCCUAACCGCAAGGGGGGCGCUGCCGAAGGUAGGAUUGGCGACUGGGGUGAAGUCGUAACAAGGUACC